AGUGAACGCUGGCGGUAGGCCUAACACAUGCAAGUCGAACGGCAGCACAGUAAGAGCUUGCUCUUACGGGUGGCGAGUGGCGGACGGGUGAGGAAUACAUAGGAAUCUACUUUUUCGUGGGGGAUAACGUAGGGAAACUUACGCUAAUACCGCAUACGACCUACGGGUGAAAGCAGGGGAUCUUCGGACCUUGCGCGAUUGAAUGAGCCGAUGUCGGAUUAGCUAGUUGACGGGGUAAAGGCCCACCAAGGCGACGAUCCGUAGCUGGUCUGAGAGGAUGAUCAGCCACACUGGAACUGAGACACGGUCCAGACUCCUACGGGAGGCAGCAGUGGGGAAUAUUGGACAAUGGGCGCAAGCCUGAUCCAGCCAUACCGCGUGGGUGAAGAAGGCCUUCGGGUUGUAAAGCCCUUUUGUUGGGAAAGAAAAGCAGCAGGUUAAUACCCCGCUGUUCUGACGGUACCCAAAGAAUAAGCACCGGCUAACUUCGUG
rnacentral:rRNA from 1 species